rnacentral:lncRNA from 1 species
CACCACCGAGACAUACACCAUCAGGCGCACAACCCCUGCGAAUUUCAUCGCCGGAAGCAGCCUCACGCGCCGCCGACGACCACCCACGCGCCGCCACCGACAGCCACGCGCCACGCGCGUGACCACUGUUCCGGCAACUUUUUCAACUGGCUCCUUUUGGACAGUAUUUUCCCCCCUCAAUUCCGACCAACUCGGUGCUUCCGGAAUAUUCCCCUGCUCACUUUCAUUUUAUACUGUCCACUUAGCCACCUCAUUUUUCUCACUGCUUACCACAA